CGAGCAGCACAGACAAUCGCAGCUGCAGGUGCCGAAAGGCCGCAGGUGAGGAAAGUCCGGGCUUCACAGGGCAGGAUGCCGGAUAACGUCCGGUGGAGGCGACUCCCAGGCCAGUGCAACAGAAAAGAACCGCCAGAUUCGUCUGGUAAGGGUGAAAAGGCGAGGUAAGAGCUCACCGCAUCUCCGGUAACGGAGAUGGCUGUGUAAACCCCAUCCGAAGCAAGACCGAACAGGACCAUACGGUGGCCCGCCGUGUUCCGGGUAGGUUGCUUGAGGCUGCCGGUAACGGUAGUCCUAGAUAGAUGAUUGUCUGAUACAGAACCCGGCUUACAGUGCUGCUCCUUAU
rnacentral:RNase_P_RNA from 1 species